AACGAACGCUGGCGGCAUGCCUAACACAUGCAAGUCGAACGAAGCCUUCGGGCUUAGUGGCGCACGGGUGCGUAACGCGUGGGAAUCUGCCCUUGGGUUCGGAAUAACAGUUAGAAAUGACUGCUAAUACCGGAUGAUGUCUUCGGACCAAAGAUUUAUCGCCCAAGGAUGAGCCCGCGUAGGAUUAGGUAGUUGGCGGGGUAAUGGCCCACCAAGCCGACGAUCCUUAGCUGGUCUGAGAGGAUGAUCAGCCACACUGGGACUGAGACACGGCCCAGACUCCUACGGGAGGCAGCAGUGGGGAAUAUUGGACAAUGGGCGAAAGCCUGAUCCAGCAAUGCCGCGUGAGUGAUGAAGGCCUUAGGGUUGUAAAGCUCUUUUACCAGGGAUGAUAAUGACAGUACCUGGAGAAUAAGCUCCGGCUAACUCCGUGCCAGCAGCCGCAGUAA
rnacentral:rRNA from 1 species